GACUGAAGACCAGGACACAGACUGGUAGACCUAACUGGGAUAAGAUAUUUAAAGAGCUAAAGGAGAGUGGAUAUGGACCAGUGACAGUAUUCUAUUGUGGGUCACCAGUACUGGCUAGAGUAUUAUCAGUGAAGUCUCAAUAUUAUGGAUUUAAAUUUAGAAAAGAAAA